UACGUAGGGACCAAGCGUUGUUCGGAUUUACUGGGCGUAAAGGGCGCGUAGGCGGCGCGGUAAGUCACUUGUGAAAUCUCUGAGCUUAACUCAGAACGGCCAAGUGAUACUGCAGUGCUAGAGUGUGGAAGGGGCAAUCGGAAUUCUUGGUGUAGCGAUGAAAUGCGUAGAUAUCAAGAGGAACACCUGAGGUGAAGACGGGUUGCUGGGCCAACACGUGACGCUGGAGGCGACGAAAGCCAGGGGAGCAAACGGG
rnacentral:rRNA from 1 species